rnacentral:rRNA from 1 species
CCUACGGGAGGCAGCAGUGAGGAAUAUUGGUCAAUGGACGAGAGUCUGAACCAGCCAAGUAGCGUGAAGGAUGACUGCCCUAUGGGUUGUAAACUUCUUUUAUAAAGGAAUAAAACGAGGCACGUGUGCCUUUUUGCAUGUACGUUAUGAAUAAGGAUCGGCUAACUCCGGGCCAGCAGCCGCGGUAAUACGGAGGAUCCGAGCGUUAUCCGGAUUUAUUGGGUUUAAAGGGAGCGUAGAUGGGUUGUUAAGUCAGUUGUGAAAUUGUGCGGCUCAACCGUAGAAUUGCAAUUGAUACUGGCAGUCUUGAGUACAGUAGAGGUAGGCGGAAUUCGUGGUGUAGCGGUGAAAUGCUUAGAUAUCACGAAGAACCCCGAUUGCGAAGGCAGCUUACUAAACUGUGACUGACAUUGAUGCUCGAAAGUGUGGGUAUCAAACAGGAUUAGAUACCCGAGUAGUC